rnacentral:rRNA from 1 species
AUGUGUGGCGAUGCGGCCAAUUGGUUUCAUGCGUAUAAACUGACUCAUCAGUGGCCUAAUUGGCAUGAGUUUCGCUCUGCUGUGAUGUCAGAGUUCGAUGUCAACGUGCACAGACACAAAAUGAAAGAGUUGAUGAUGCUAAAACAGUCAGGGUCGGUGGCAGAGUACAAAAGAGAGUUUAUGCAAUUAACUUACCAGUUGCUGCUGUAUGAAAACACAGUUAGCGACACAUUCCUGGUAACUAGGUUUGUGUUGGGUUUGAGAGAGGAGUUGAGAGCUGCGGUGGAGAUGCAAAUACCAGCGACAGUCAGCGAAGCUGCGAUGUAUGCUGGUAUUCAGGAAGAGGUCUUGGCUAGAAGCAAACAUGUUAAAUGGACAAACCACAAAGCAAUGGGUUCAAAAACUGAUUACAAGGCUCAACCAGUGGCUGCAGGAGAUCUAUGGAAAGCUAGACAGCUGAAAGAGUUUCGAAGGGCUAAUGGUCUUUGUUAUAGUUGUGGAGAAAAAUACACACCAACUCACGUGUGUGCUAAGCACCCGGUUCAGGCAACUGUGCAAGCAUUGCAAUGUGAAGGCCCUACUAUUCUAUCUGAUGAAGUGCUUGAUGCAGUUGAGGAACAGGAAGCAGCCUUACAAGAGAUGCAGCUGUCGGUAAAUGCCAUUUCAGGGGCAGAUCAUCCAAGGACAAUCAGGUUGCGAGCCUUAAUUGGGAAUCAAGUUGUGCUAAUUCUGUUGGAUUCGGGCAGCACUCACAGCUUUAUAGAUAUUGAGAUGUUAGCCCGAGCGCAGCUCACACACCAAGAGUUGAAAACACCACUGCAGGUGAAGGUGGCAAAUGGGGAAAUGCUACAGUGCAAAUCAGUGGUGCCUGAGCUGCACUGGUGGGUUCAGGGCCACACUUUUAGCUACCCAAUGAAAGUACUAGACCUAGGAGGAUAUGAUAUGAUCCUGGGGAUGGAUUGGCUAGAGCAAUGGGGUGAAAUGACUUGUCAGUGGAAAGAAAAAUGGGUGAGGUUCCAAUUUCAAGACCAGCUCAUAACCUUGCAAGGCUUGUUACCUCCAGCCAACCCGGUGUUACAAGAAGUAUCAGUUGAGCAAGCCAUGAGAUGGCACACUGGUAAUGACAUUUGGGCAACUGCUUUGAUCACUCCUGUGAUGUCAAAAACACCAAAUGAAAUUCCGAAUGAGGUGCAAGUAGUGAUACAAGAAUUUGCGGAUGUGUUCCAAGAUCCUAAAACAUUACCCCCUUCAAGACCCCUAGAUCAUGCCAUACACCUGGUACCUGGGGCUCUUCCAGUGAAUGUAAGACCUUACAGAUACUCUCCUCUUCAAAAGGAUGAAAUUGAAAAACAAGUGGCUGAGAUGCUAGAAGCGGGAUUGAUAACCCCUAGUGUCAGUCCUUUUGCCUCUCCCGUGUUACUGGUAAAAAAGAAAGAUGGCACAUGGAGAUUCUGUGUGGAUUACAGGAAACUUAACUCCAUCACGGUGAAGAGUAGGUUUCCUAUGCCUGUGGUGGAUGAACUAUUAGAUGAGUUGGCAGGCACUAAGUGGUUUACAAAGUUGGAUCUAAGAGCAGGUUACCACCAUAUCAGAAUGGUACCUGAAGAUGAACAUAAAACAGCUUUUCGAACCCAUAAUGGUCAUUAUCAGUUCAAGGUCAUGGCGUUUGGACUUGCUACAGCUCCGGGUACUUUCCAGGGUAACAUGAAUUUGUACUUGUCCAAAGGGAACAAAAAGUAUGUCAUAUCCUUCAUGGAUGACAUCUUGGUGUUCAACCAGUCUCUAGUGGACCAUAUAGCUCACCUGAGAGAAGUGCUGCAAAUUUUGAGAUAA